AAAAAAAUCAUAUCACUAUCAACCAAAUAAAUAUAGAUCAAGGUAUUAUCUACAAACUUGGUUACCUCCAAAAUCAAAACAAAUACAAAUAAACUAUAGUACUAGUAAUUUGAAGGUCGAGCUACUUUGAAUGAUUCGACAAACUUGAAAAUUAAAAAAUAGAACUAGGAAUGUGGAAGAAAUAACAAAAAAACUCACGUGACACCCAAAUAACAUUCUUGACUCAAUAUACGCUUCCAACUCUCUUUGGUUAAAUGAAAAUUCCUGUAAAGAAAAGCUCCGCAAAUUUAGUCUAACAGGUACAUAUAGAAAGUAAUUAAUGAAAUAUUAGCUUCAAGAAAAUAUUUCAAAUAUCUUACAUUGAAUAUUAGAACAAGAUCAACAACCAUCACAAUAAGUAGUCAAUAUAUUUCAAUAGCUGACUACGCUAACCUUAAAUGUGAGUAAAAUUAUUUUCAACUCUCAGAUGAUACAUUGUCAGUACUUGAAUCUACAGAGGGAAGGAAAAAAUGUAGAUAGUCAUUAAAAAAAAAAA
rnacentral:lncRNA from 1 species